GAUGAACGCUGGCGGCGUGCCUAAUACAUGCAAGUCGAACGGGCACCUUCGGGUGUCAGUGGCAGACGGGUGAGUAACACGUGGGAACGCGCCCUUUGGUUCGGAACAACUCCGGGAAACUGGAGCUAAUACCGGAUAAGCCCUUCGGGGGAAAGAUUUAUCGCCAAAGGAUCGGCCCGCGUCUGAUUAGCUUGUUGGUGGGGUAAUGGCCCACCAAGGCGACGAUCAGUAGCUGGUCUGAGAGGAUGAUCAGCCACACUGGGACUGAGACACGGCCCAGACUCCUACGGGAGGCAGCAGUGGGGAAUAUUGGACAAUGGGCGAAAGCCUGAUCCAGCCAUGCCGCGUGAGUGAUGAAGGCCCUAGGGUUGUAAAGCUCUUUCGGCGGGGACGAUAAUGACGGUACCCGCAGAAGAAGCCCCGGCUAACUUCGUGCCAGCCGCCGCCGUAA
rnacentral:rRNA from 1 species